GCCUCAGUGGCCAAGGUAAGGCGUCGGUCUCGUAAACCGAAGAUCAUGGGUUCGAACCCCAUCUGAGGCU
rnacentral:tRNA from 1 species